CAUUCACGGAGAGUUUGAUCCUGGCUCAGGACGAACGCUGGCGGCGUGCUUAACACAUGCAAGUCGAACGAUGAAGCCCUUCGGGGUGGAUUAGUGGCGAACGGGUGAGUAACACGUGGGCAAUCUGCCCUGCACUCUGGGACAAGCCCUGGAAACGGGGUCUAAUACCGGAUAUGACCAUCUUGGGCAUCCUUGAUGGUGUAAAGCUCCGGCGGUGCAGGAUGAGCCCGCGGCCUAUCAGCUUGUUGGUGAGGUAAUGGCUCACCAAGGCGACGACGGGUAGCCGGCCUGAGAGGGCGACCGGCCACACUGGGACUGAGACACGGCCCAGACUCCUA
rnacentral:rRNA from 2 species